rnacentral:rRNA from 1 species
GACGAACGCUGGCGGCGUGCUUAACACAUGCAAGUCGAGCGGUAAGGCCCUUCGGGGUACACGAGCGGCGAACGGGUGAGUAACACGUGGGUGACCUGCCUCUAGCUCUGGGAUAAGCCUGGGAAACUGGGUCUAAUACCGGAUAUGACUCCACGGCGCAUGUUGUGGGGUGGAAAGCCUUGUGUGGCUAGAGAUGGGCCCGCGGCCUAUCAGCUUGUUGGUGGGGUGAUGGCCUACCAAGGCGACGACGGGUAGCCGGCCUGAGAGGGCGACCGGCCACACUGGGACUGAGACACGGUCCAGACUCCUACGGGAGGCAGCAGUGGGGAAUCUUGCGCAAUGGGCGAAAGACCUGACGCAGCAACGCCGCGUGAGU